CCACCCUUGCCCCGCCCUUUUCCCUAAAUCCGUUGCUGCUGAAUAACCCUCUGUAUAAGGUUUGUUUUGUGCAACCCCUUUCCCUCGAAGAAGCCUCUCUGGAAGCAUUGGAAGCCUCAUUGUGUUUCUUUCGAAUAGCAGGGGAUCAAAGA